AUGCUGGAGGUAUCAGAAGUGCGAAUGCUGACAUAAGUAACGAUAAAGCGGGUGAAAAGCCCGCUCGCCGGAAGACCAAGGGUUCCUGUCCAACGUUAAUCGGGGCAGGGUGAGUCGACCCCUAAGGCGAGGCCGAAAGGCGUAGUCGAUGGGAAACAGGUUAAUAUUCCUGUACUUGGUGUUACUGCGAAGGGGGGACGGAGAAGGCUAUGUUGGCCGGGCGACGGUUGUCCCGGUUUAAGCGUGUAGGCUGGUUUUCCAGGCAAAUCCGGAAAAUCAAGGCUGAGGCGUGAUGACGAGGCACUACGGUGCUGAAGCAACAAAUGCCCUGCUUCCAGGAAAAGCCUCUAAGCAUCAGGUAACAUCAAAUCGUACCCCAAACCGACACAGGUGGUCAGGUAGAGAAUACCAAGGCGCUUGAGAGAACUCGGGUGAAGGAACUAGGCAAAAUGGUGCCGUAACUUCGGGAGAAGGCACGCUGAUAUGUAGGUGAAGUCCCUCGCGGAUGGAGCUGAAAUCAGUCGAAGAUACCAGCUGGCUGCAACUGUUUAUUAAAAACACAGCACUGUGCAAACACGAAAGUGGACGUAUACGGUGUGACGCCUGCCCGGUGCCGGAAGGUUAAUUGAUGGGGUUAGCGCAAGCGAAGCUCUUGAUCGAAGCCCCGGUAAACGGCGGCCGUAACUAUAACGGUCCUAAGGUAGCGAAAUUCCUUGUCGGGUAAGUUCCGACCUGCACGAAUGGCGUAAUGAUGGCCAGGCUGUCUCCACCCGAGACUCAGUGAAAUUGAACUCGCUGUGAAGAUGCAGUGUACCCGCGGCAAGACGGAAAGACCCCGUGAACCUUUACUAUAGCUUGACACUGAACAUUGAGCCUUGAUGUGUAGGAUAGGUGGGAGGCUUUGAAGUGUGGACGCCAGUCUGCAUGGAGCCGACCUUGAAAUACCACCCUUUAAUGUUUGAUGUUCUAACGUUGACCCGUGAUCCGGGUUGCGGACAGUGUCUGGUGGGUAGUUUGACUGGGGCGGUCUCCUCCUAAAGAGUAACGGAGGAGCACGAAGGUUGGCUAAUCCUGGUCGGACAUCAGGAGGUUAGUGCAAUGGCAUAAGCCAGCUUGACUGCGAGCGUGACGGCGCGAGCAGGUGCGAAAGCAGGUCAUAGUGAUCCGGUGGUUCUGAAUGGAAGGGCCAUCGCUCAACGGAUAAAAGGUACUCCGGGGAUAACAGGCUGAUACCGCCCAAGAGUUCAUAUCGACGGCGGUGUUUGGCACCUCGAUGUCGGCUCAUCACAUCCUGGGGCUGAAGUAGGUCCCAAGGGUAUGGCUGUUCGCCAUUUAAAGUGGUACGCGAGCUGGGUUUAGAACGUCGUGAGACAGUUCGGUCCCUAUCUGCCGUGGGCGCUGGAGAACUGAGGGGGGCUGCUCCUAGUACGAGAGGACCGGAGUGGACGCAUCACUGGUGUUCGGGUUGUCAUGCCAAUGGCACUGCCCGGUAGCUAAAUGCGGAAGAGAUAAGUGCUGAAAGCAUCUAAGCACGAAACUUGCCCCGAGAUGAGUUCU
rnacentral:rRNA from 1 species